rnacentral:rRNA from 1 species
AGUGAACGCUGGCGGUAGGCCUAGCACAUGCAAGUCGAACGGCAGCACAGUAAGAGCUUGCUCUUACGGGUGGCGAGUGGCGGACGGGUGAGGAAUACAUCGGAAUCUACUUUUUCGUGGGGGAUAACGUGGGGAAACUUACGCUAAUACCGCAUACGACCUACGGGUGAAAGCAGGGGAUCUUCGGACCUUGCGCGAUUGAAUGAGCCGAUGUCGGAUUAGCUAGUUGGCGGGGUAAAGGCCCACCAAGGCGACGAUCCGUAGCUGGUCUGAGAGGAUGAUCAGCCACAUUGGAACUGAGACACGGACCCGACUCCUACGGGAGGCAGCAGGGGGGAAUUUUGGACAAGGGGCGCAAGCCUGACCCAGCCAUACCGGGGGGGGGAAGAAGGCCUUCGGGUUUUAAAGCCCUUUUGUGGGGAAAAAAAAGCAGCAGGUUAAUACCCCGCUGUUCGGACGGUACCCAAAGAAUAAGCACCGGCUAACUUCGU